AGAGCGUAUGGUGGAUGCCUUGGCACUAAGAGCCGAUGAAAGACGUGAUAAGCUGCGAAAAGCUUCGGGGAGGAGCAAAUAUCCUGAGAUCCGGAGAUAUCUGAAUGGGGAAACCUACUUGAGAAGACCUCAAGUAUCCACAGCCCAAUCCAUAAGCUGUGGAAGGGAACCCGGUGAACUGAAACAUCUAAGUAGCCGGAGGAAGAGAAAACAACAUGUGAUUCCGUAAGUAGCGGCGAGCGAACGCGGAAGAGCCCAAACCGGAGUGCGUGCACUCCGGGGUUCGGACUGCAGGAUUGACGAGUGAGCCUAGUAGAAUGGUUUUGGGAAAGCCAGCCAGAGAGGGUGAAAGCCCCGUACACGAAAGGCAAGCGAGCAUGGCAGGAUCCAGAGUACCACGAGACACGUGAAACCUUGUGGGAAUGAGCGGGGACCACCCCGUAAGGCUAAAUACUCCUUAGUGACCGAUAGCGCAUAGUACUGUGAAGGAAAGGUGAAAAGGACCCCGGGAGGGGAGUGAAAGAGAACCUGAAACCCUGUGUUUACAAGCUGUGGAACACCUUUAUAUGGUGGACCGCGUACUUUUUGUAGAACGGUCCGGCGAGUUGUGCAUACUGGCAAGGUUAAGCGUCUAAGACGCGGAGCCGUAGGGAAACCAAGUCUUAAAAGGGCCAGAGUCAGUAUGUGCAGACCCGAAACCGGGUGAUCUAUCCAUGUCCAGGUUGAAGCUGCCGUAAGAGGUAGUGGAGGACCGAACCCACAUCCGUUGAAAAGGGUGGGGAUGAGGUGUGGAUAGGGGAGAAAUUCCAAUCGAACCCGGAGAUAGCUGGUUCUCCUCGAAAUAGCUUUAGGGCUAGCCUCGAUACAGAUUUGCGGAGGUAGAGCACUGAAUUUCCUAGGGGGCGUCAAAGCCUACCGAAGAAUAUCAAACUCCGAAUGCCGUGUAAUUGCUUACCAGGAGUCAGACUGCACGAGAUAAGUUGGGCAGUCAAAAGGGAAAGAGCCCAGACCUGCAGCUAAGGCCCCAAAAUGUGUGUUAAGUGGAAAAGGAUGUGGGAUUUCGAAGACAACUAGGAUGUUGGCUCAGAAGCAGCCACACAUUCAAAGAGUGCGUAAUAGCUCACUAGUCGAGAGGUCCUGCGCCGAAAAUGUCCGGGGCUGAAACACACUACCGAAGCUUGGGAAUUGACGAAUGUUAAUUGGUAGAGGAGCAUUCUUAACGGGGCGAAGCUGUACCGGAAGGAGCAGUGGACUGUUAAGAAGAGAGAAUGCCGGAAUGAGUAGCGAGAGGAAGGUGAGAAUCCUUCCGGCCGAAUAUCUAAGGUUUCCAGAGUAAAGCUGAUCUGCUCUGGGUAAGUCGGGGCCUAAGGCGAGGUCGAAAGACGUAGUCGAUGGAUAACAGGUAAAGAUUCCUGUACUGUAUCAUAACAGAACUGUGGGGACGCAGACAGAGAGCAUAAGCCGGGAAUGGAAAGACCGGUACAAGCGAGGUAGGAGUGCAUCAGGCAAAUCCGGUGCACAAUCUGAAGACGUGAUGUGGGGCGUAAAGCCGGAAGUAUGUGAGCUGGCUGCCAAGAAAAGCCGCUAUUGUUUAUGAUAUACCCGUACCGUAAACCGACACAGGUGGAUGAGGAGAGAAUCCUAAGGCCGACGGAAGAAGCAUUGUCAAGGAACUCGGCAAAAUGACCCCGUAACUUCGGGAGAAGGGGUGCCAGUGAGAACUGGCCGCAGAGAAAAGGCUCAAGCAACUGUUUAGCAAAAACACAGGUCUAUGCAAAACCGAAAGGUGAGGUAUAUGGGCUGACGCCUGCCCGGUGCUGGAAGGUUAAGGGGAGAGGUUAGCCGUAAGGCGAAGCUUUGAACUUAAGCCCCAGUAAACGGCGGCCGUAACUAUAACGGUCCUAAGGUAGCGAAAUUCCUUGUCGGGUAAGUUCCGACCCGCACGAAAGGCGUAAUGAUUUGGGCACUGUCUCAACGAUACACCCGGUGAAAUUGAAAUACCAGUGAAGAUGCUGGUUACCUGCGCCAGGACGGAAAGACCCCAUGGAGCUUUACUCCA
rnacentral:rRNA from 1 species